rnacentral:rRNA from 1 species
UACGUAGGGGGCAAGCGUUGUCCGGAAUCAUUGGGCGUAAAGAGCGUGUAGGCGGCUCGAUAAGUCUGCUGUGAAAGUCCAGGGCUCAACCCUGGAAGGCCGGUGGAAACUGUCGGGCUAGAGUCCGGAAGAGGCGAGUGGAAUUCCCGGUGUAGCGGUGAAAUGCGCAGAUAUCGGGAGGAACACCAAUGGCGAAGGCAGCUCGCUGGACCGUUACUGACGCUGAGGAACGAAAGCUAGGGGAGCAAACGGG